AUUGAACGCUGGCGGCAGGCCUAACACAUGCAAGUCGAACGCGUGGCGGACGGGUGAGUAGUGUCUGGGAAAGUGCCCGGUAGAGGGGGAUAACUACUAAAAGGAGUCGCUAAUACCGCAUACCAUCGGAUGUGCCCAGAUGGGAUGCGCGAGUGGGUGGGGUAACGGCUCACCUAGGCGACGAUCCCUCGCUGGUCUGAGAGGAUGACCAGCCACACUGGAACUGAGACACGGUCCAGACUCCUACGGGAGGCAGCAGUGGGGAAUAUUGCACAAUGGGCGCAAGCCUGAUGCAGCCAUGCCGCGUGUAUGAAGAAGGCCUUCGGGUUGUAAAGUACUUUCAGCGAGGAGGCGUUACUCGCAGAAGAAGCACCGGCUAACUCCGUGCCAGCAGCCGCGGUAAUUC
rnacentral:rRNA from 1 species